AACAAACGCUGGAGGCAUGCUUAACACAUGCAAGUCGCACGAGAAAGCUUCCUUCGGGGAGCGAGUAAAGUGGCGAACGGGUGAGUAAUACGUAAGAACCUGCCCUUUGGACUGGGAUAACAUCGCGAAAGCGAUGCUAAUACCGGAUGAUGUCUACGGACUAAAGGGGGCUUCGGCUUCCACCUAAGGAGGGGCUUGCGUCCCAUUAGCUAGUUGGUGAGGUAAUGGCUCACCAAGGCAAUGAUGGGUAGCCGUCCUGAGAGGGUGUACGGCCACACUGGAACUGAGACACGGUCCAGACUCCUACGGGAGGCUG
rnacentral:rRNA from 1 species